GCCUGGGUGGCUCAGUCAGUUAAGCGUCUGACUUCAGCUCAGGUCAUGAUCUCAUGGUUUGUGGGUUUGAGCCCCAUGUUGGGCU
rnacentral:tRNA from 1 species